AGAGCAUAUCGACAGCAAUUCUAUUUUGGAAAGCCAUUAGAGAGGUAGCUGACAACUGUUCAUGGAUGGCUGAGAAUCCUUCUUCAGUUUUAUUUCCUAGUCGUUGCACAUUGUAAUGGAUGUAAUUGAUUCUAUCAACGUUUUUAUUGAUUGUACACCACCAACAUAUGGUGGAUUCAAAGCCUGCUGCUACUUGAUCUGCUAAUUUAUAUUCAUCAGGGACCCCUCUUGGUAUUCCUAUGCUGUGUGUCCUAUGUUAGGACACAAUAAUAAUGUUAUACAGGGAUCUUGUGCAUGUGGUCUCCUCACCAAAACUCUUGGGUACACCAAAAGGAAUUAGGGUCGUGUUAAUGUUUAACAUUAAUUGUUUAUUUGUUUUGGUUAAUGAGACCUGUUUCCCCCAAUCCCGGCACUCUGUGGAGUGUCCAUAUGUUCCCUUUUCCCAUGAUCCUGUAGUGGCAAAGACAUUUCCCCACCAAUGUCCUGAUUGUUUCAUACCACUACAAUCUAGAUACCAGUCAUAUCCAUCCCAGCUGUUUGCCCCAUAGCCCCCUAUUUGCAAGUUUCGAUCAAAAGUGAACACAGUCUGUGUUCUGUUAGUUUGAUAGCAGAAAUACAGUUCUUUUGUUCUACUGCUAUCCCCAUCUGUAGUUUUACAGGGGUUUUUUAAUAUUUCAUGUUGGAUUUUGGAUCGAUUAGGAUUAUAGUACCCUGCUCUUCUUUUUUGCAUUUUGUGAUUUCUUUCCCAUAUUAACAGGGCACUUACAACUAUGAUUGAGAUGAUGCUCCCUAUUAUCAAUAUCUUUUUGUGUGUAGGGGUGAACAUCUUUCUGUAGAUUGGAGCCCUUCCUAAAAACCUGUAGCAGAGCUGUGGACAAUCUUCACCGGUUUGAGACAACUGCAAACUAUAAUUGCAGCCCCCUUUUGUCCCCAGAUAGGGUUGUUGACCAGUUCCCUACUGCACCGUCUUUCUGUAAUUUAGGCUUACUUCCUAUAUCUUUUAGUGUAUAUUUAGGUGGAUUUUUGGGAACUGGGGCGACAGGGGGAGCCAUAGGCUCAGUUAUUUCAUCUUCCCCAGCCGCCUCUUCAUCUUGUUGGGCUAAUUGUUGCUGUAAGGCUGCAUAAGGACCUGAAUAUUCAUCAUCUUCCUUUCGGUGAAACAUUAUUUCUUUUUCUUUUCAUUUGUUUUUCAUUUUGUUUACAUUUGUUAGCUAUUUUACCUUGUAAGUCUUUUAAGGCAGCCGUGGAUAACUUUCCAUUAAAGUUAUAAUGUUUUACCCAGUAACAUAAUGGUUCCACAGCUGUUGGUUCUUACUUUUCUACUACUUUCCAAUCUUUGCAUGAUAAAUUAUCAAGUAACUUUUGUUUUUCUUUACUUUGUCCCUUACCCAUUUUUAGGCGACUUUUAGUUCCAGUAUGGUUUUAACACCUGGUGUGUUCUAAAUACUGGAAAUACUUUUUAAACAAGAUGGUGAUCAACUAACCUGUUGCGGUAAAAUUCACUUCAACCCGUUAAGGUGGAAUUUUCUUGCCUACAUGCAUCCGCAACGGCUCACCAUUUGUUCCUUGUUUAAUUUAUAUGAAAAACAGUCACCUAGUGGUGGCUAUUUUUCCACUCUCACACUCACUCGCUCCUUUUAUUAGUUUCUUAACAGAGGACUCCGCCGUCCUUAACGUAGAAUUUAAUUAGU